GCCAGGCACAGUGGCUCAUGCCUGUAAUCCCAGCACCUUGGGAGGCCGAGGUGGGAGGAUUGCUUGAGCCUAGGAGUUUAAGGCCAGCCUGGGCAACAUAGCAAGAUCCCAUCUCUA
ensembl:misc_RNA Metazoa_SRP Metazoan signal recognition particle RNA